UGAAUACAGAAACGACUGAGAUCGGUUUCGAGUUAAACGCGUGAAAUUUUCCGGUCUUCUUUGAAGCAUUCUAACAAAAGCAUAGCGUGCACUUUAUAAAACAAGCUCCAUACUGAUCAUGGUGAAAUGAGACUCAAAUUUCGACACAUGAUGACAACAUGAACCCACAUCAUAGAUUAUAACUCAGUCUCAUUACUAUAUCAAUCGCGUAUGAUCUCUAAAAAAUAGAAAAAUUAGAUUUCGGGCUCAAUGAGACACGGCCGAAAAAUGGUGAUUGAGAACGAACUCCUACCUGUUACAGGGUGAAGUGCAGGUUUGGGCAUCGUCCAUGAAUUCCAUGAACGUCGCCUUCGAAGCUCUUCGAGUUUCAUUGAUCUGCUCAGAUAUCUUCUUAUAUUCCUUGUCCGCUUCAUCCGUGACUUGCUGAAUUGCCCGGACCUGGAUCUACAAGCGGCUGUGGAAGCAUCCGCCCUCCUCCCUAUCGCCCAUCCUUUUUCCCGUUACAUGCCUCAUUCCCCGCUUCGUCCAGUGAGCACCAGCAAGCCCUCCUCUCCUCCGUAAGGAAUCUUUUUUGUUUUUUCCUCGCCCACGCCAGCUCCUGCGUUCCAGGAGGCUCCUCACUUUUCUCA
rnacentral:lncRNA from 1 species